rnacentral:rRNA from 1 species
UACGUAGGGGGCUAGCGUUGUCCGGAAUCAUUGGGCGUAAAGCGCGUGUAGGCGGCCAUGUAGGUCCGUUGUGAAAACUCGAGGCUCAACCUCGAGACGCCGAUGGAAACCAUGUGGCUAGAGUCCGGAAGAGGAGAGUGGAAUUCCUGGUGUAGCGGUGAAAUGCGCAGAUAUCAGGAAGAACACCCGUGGCUAAGGCGGCUCUCUAGUACGGUACUGACGCUGAGACGCGAAAGCAUGGGGAGCGAACAGG